rnacentral:rRNA from 1 species
UACGGAGGGUGCAAACGUUGCUCGGAAUCAUUGGGCGUAAAGCGCACGUAGGCGGCCUGUUAAGUCGGGUGUGAAAGCCCUGGGCUCAACCCAGGAAGUGCACUCGAAACUGGCAGGCUUGAAUAUGGAAGAGGGUCGCGGAAUUCCCGGUGUAGAGGUGAAAUUCGUAGAUGUCGGGAGGAACACCAGUGGCGAAGGCGGCGAGCUGGGCCAAUAUUGACGCUGAGGAGCGAAAGCGUGGGGAGCGAACAGG